GAUGAACGCUGGCGGCGUGCCUAAUACAUGCAAGUCGAGCGAACGGACGAGAAGCUUGCUUCUCUGAUGUUAGCGGCGGACGGGUGAGUAACACGUGGAUAACCUACCUAUAAGACUGGGAUAACUUCGGGAAACCGUAGCUAAUACCGGAUAAUAUUUUGAACCGCAUGGUUCAAAAGUGAAAGACGGUCUUGCUGUCACUUAUAGAUGGAUCCGCGCUGCAUUAGCUAGUUGGUAAGGUAACGGCUUACCAAGGCAGCGAUGCAUAGCCGACCUGAGAGGGUGAUCGGCCACACUGGAACUGAGACACGGUCCAGACGCCUACGGGAGGCGGCAGUAGGGAAUCUUCCGCAAUGGGCGAAAGCCUGACGGAGCAACGCCGCGUGAGUGAUGAAGGUCUUCGGAUCGUAAAACUCUGUUAUUAGGGAAGAACAUAUGUGUAAGUAACUGUGCACAUCUUGACGGUACCUAAUCAGAAAGCCACGGCUAACUACGUG
rnacentral:rRNA from 1 species